rnacentral:tRNA from 1 species
GCCCGGGAUAGCUCAGUCGGUAGAGCAGGGGAUUGAAAAUCCCCGUGUCCUUGGUUCGAUUCCGAGUCCGGGCACCA